rnacentral:rRNA from 1 species
UACAGGGGGGGCAAGCGUUGUUCGGAAUUACUGGGCGUAAAGGGUUCGUAGGUGGCCAACUUAGUCAGACGUGAAAUCCCUCAGCUUAACUGGGGAACUGCGUCUGAUACUGGAUGGCUUGAGUUUGGGAGAGGGAUGCGGAAUUCCAGGUGUAGCGGUGAAAUGCGUAGAUAUCUGGAGGAACACCGGUGGCGAAGGCGGCAUCCUGGACCAACACUGACACUGAGGAGCGAAAGCCAGGGGAGCAAACGGG